rnacentral:rRNA from 1 species
ACCAGACUCCUACGGGAGGCAGCAGUGGGGAAUAUUGCACAAUGGGGGGAACCCUGAUGCAGCGACGCCGCGUGAGUGAAGAAGUAUUUCGGUAUGUAAAGCUCUAUCAGCAGGGAAGAAAAUGACGGUACCUGACUAAGAAGCCCCGGCUAACUACGUGCCAGCAGCCGCGGUAAUACGUAGGGGGCAAGCGUUAUCCGGAUUUACUGGGUGUAAAGGGAGCGCAGACGGCUGUGCAAGUCUGGAGUGAAAGGCGGGGGCCCAACCCCCGGACUGCUCUGGAAACUGUAAAGCUGGAGUGCAGGAGAGGUAAGCGGAAUUCCUAGUGUAGCGGUGAAAUGCGUAGAUAUUAGGAGGAACACCAGUGGCGAAGGCGGCUUACUGGACUGCAGCUGACGUUGAGGCUCGAAAGCGUGGGGAGCAAACAGGAUUAGAUACCCGUGUAGG